AAAUUGAAGAGUUUGAUCGACUCAGAUUGAACCCUUUGGCGGCAGGCCUAACACAUGCACAAGUCAGACGGUAACCAAGAGCAACUUGCUGUUUCGCUGACAAUGUGAGACAGGUGAAAUGUCUGAAACUGCCUGAUGGAGAGGAUAACUACAGAGCAGUAGCUAAUACCACCCAUAACGUCCACUUAAGAGACCAAAGAGGACCUUCGGGCCUCUUGCCAUCAGAUGUACUUGAGAUGGGGAUUAGCUAGUAGGUGGGAGUAGCAUUCACACAAGGCGACGAUCCUAGCUGGUCUAGGAGGAUGACUACAGCCACACUGGAACUGAGACAGUCAGACUCCUACGAGGAGGCAGCAGUGGGAAUAUUGCACAAUGGGGCACAGCCUGAUACAGCCAUGCCGCGUGUAUGAAGAAGGCCUUUGGGUUGUAAAAAAUUACUUUCAAUAGGGAGGAAGGGAGUAAAGUUAAUACCUUUGCUCAUUGUACCGCAAGAAGAAACACCAGCUAACUCCGUGCCAGCAGCCGCACCCAGUAAUACAGAGGUGCAGAAGCGUUAAUCCAGGUGCUGGAAUAAAAGCGCACGCAGGCGGUUUAUUAAGUCUAACAGAAUCCCAGACUCAACACAGGAACUACCAUCUGAUACUGGCAAAACUGAGUCUCGUAAGAGGUAGAAUUCCAGUGCGGUAAAGAAUGCGUAGAGGAUCUGGAGGAAUACCGGUGGCGAAGGUAUUUACCGGACGAAGACUGGCCUCAGGAAUUGCGAAGCGUAAAGGGAGCAAAACAGGAUUAAGAUACCACGGUAGUCCCGCGCCGUAAACGAUGUCGACUUGGAGGGUUGUACUUGCCUUAGAGGCGUGGCUUUGAGCUAACGCGUUAAGUCGACCGCACAGGGAGAGUACAGCCGCAAAGUUAAAACUCAAAUGAAUUGGUAGGGCCCGCACAGAGCAGUGGGAGCAUGUAGUUUAAUUCGAUGCAACGCGAAGACCUUACGAGUCUUAGCAUCCUGGAAGUUUUCAGAGAUGAGGCUGCCUUCCGGGAACCGUAGGACAGGUGCUGCAUGGCUGUCGUCAGCUCGUGUUGUGAAAUGUUAGGUUAAGUCCGCAGGCGCAGCCCAUAUCCUUGUUGCCAACUUGGUCCGGCCGGGAACUCAAAGGGACUGCCAGUGAUAAACUGGAGGAAGGUGGGGAUGACGUCAAGUCAUCAUGGCCCUUACGACCAGGGCUACACACGUGCUACAAUGGCGCAUACAAAGAGAAGCGACCUCGCGAGAGCAAGCGGACCUCAUAAAGUGCGUCGUAGUCCGGAUUGGAGUCUGCAACUCGACUCCAUGAAGUCGGAAUCGCUAGUAAUCGUGGAUCAGAAUGCCACGGUGAAUACGUUCCCGGGCCUUGUACACACCGCCCGUCACACCAUGGGAGUGGGUUGCAAAAGAAGUAGGUAGCUUAACCUUCGGGAGGGCGCUUACCACUUUGUGAUUCAUGACUGGGGUGAAGUCGUAACAAGGUAACCGUAGGGGAACCUGCGGUUGGAUCACCUCCUUACCUUAAAGAAGC
rnacentral:rRNA from 1 species